AAAAAAAUUACAAACAUGUUUCCAUUCAGUAGAUAUUUGUUUUCAUUUGUGCUGCUUGUGCUUCUUGUUCGUUUGUGUGAUGGGGGUCCUUGGGUUAUAGAAAAUAAAGUGGAUCUAAGGAUCACCAAUGACUUAGGCACCGGCGCAGAUCUUAACCUCCACUGUCAAUCCAAAGAUGAUGACCUUGGCACUCAUGUCCUGGCCCCUAAUCAAUUCUUUGAAUUCCGUUUUCGACCAAACUUUUGGGGGACUACCUUAUACUUCUGCAAGUUCUGGUGGGGAGGAGAAUCCCAUUGGUUUAAUAUAUAUGUUGAGAAGAGGGAUACGAGCCGAUGUGAUAGCAAGUGCUGGUGGAUGGUAGGACCAGUUGGUCCUUGUUUGCUGGAUCGUAGAUUUGGAAUAUACGAUCUUUGCGAAAACUGGAAUGACCCACAGUUUGAGGGUUCAAGUAAAAAAGAGACAGGAAACGACGCAGCUAGAGUGUACAAUGACUCCAAAUAUUUGGAGGGCAAUGAGAAAAGAGGGAAAUGAUAUCAUCAAUUAUAUAUCAAUUAUUACUUGCGCUAUGCAUGGUGAAAAUAAAUCCAAGUAGAUCAUGUUCCUUAUUAAAUAAUGUAUACAUUUGUCACUAUUUUGCUUCAAGAAGUGAAAAUAUAGGUUGAAAAACAUUUGUCAAAGUUUAUUACAUCAUGCCGCACUGUAAAUGUUAGGAGGUUUUUGUUUCUUUCGCUAAUGGGACUGAUAUCAUGAUGCAUUAGCUUCAUAUAUGACUCCCAUUGUCCCCUAAGAGGUAAAGACAUGUAUCCAUUUCACCUUUGAAAUAAAUAAAAAGGGGAGCAAAGAUGCAGCCUGUCAUAGGUGUUUUCUCUAAAAUUUUAUUUUUUAGAGAUUUAGGUACGUUUGGUUUUUGAAAAUUUCCAAGGGUAAAGGAAAGAAAAUACAAAAGAAAAAUAAAAGGAAAGAAAAAGUCAAGGGAAAAAAUAUUAAAAGGUAAUAAAUUAUUUUUAUUUACUACUUGAAACUUAAACAUGCAUAAGUUAUUUACUAGUUUUAAUUACAUUUGAUGUAUUUUCCAUUGGACAAUCAAACAUAAAAAAUUAUUUUCCUUUUAAAUUUUUUUUUCUUUUCUUAAUCUUUUUCGAGAAUUAAAAAUUACUUUAAAAAACACUAAUUUUUUAAGUGUAUAAUAAUUAUUGGCAUAUUAAUAUUUUUUUCUCAAGUCCAACUUGUAAAGAGAUUUUAUUCAUUUUAAAAAUAUUAAAAUUAUCACUAUCUCUAAUAUAAGCAUAUUUAAAUACAAUUAAAAAUUAAACUACUUUGUUUCUUCCACUCAUUAAAUAUAAAAAUUAAAAAUUAAACAUGAUUUCAAACACACAACAAGCAUUUUCUAAGUUGGUAUUUGAUAAACCAAUUUAAUAAGUUAAGGUGACUUAAUAACUUAAUUUAAGUCAUUAAAUAAAAUAAAUAUAUUUGGUAAAAUAACUUAAUAACAUAAUUUAAAAUAAAAAAACAAUUUUAAAUAAUAAGUACAAAUAACGAACUUAUUCUUAAGUUUAUAUCUUUAUUUUACAUUUUUAUCAUUUUUGUCAUAAUUACUAUUUUUCAUAGAAAUUUAUAUCUAUAAAUCUUGAAUUUAAUUUAAGCUAUGUUAUCAAUAAAAACUAAUUCAUUAAAGUUAUUAAGAUAGAUUUAUUUAAUUGCAAUAUUCAAGAUGGGUUCAUUUGAAACUAAUAGGUAAAUUGUUAUUCUCAAAUUUAAUUUAAAUUUUCUUAUCGAAUAUGGUAAAAAAAAAAACUAAUACGUAAAUUGCCUUAUGAGAAAUAAGAAAGAAAAUAAAAAUCAAUUAAAAUAUUUUAAUUUUCUUAUUUAUUUUUAAGCCAAGUGUAAUUUUCAAUAUUUCACAUCUUUUUAAUGAAAAAACUAUGUAAAGUAGUGGAUAAAUAAAAAUAAAUAAAUUUUAAGUUAAAAGAUAUUUUUUUUCUUCUUCCAAUUUUAAGCUUAUCUUCAAAAAAUAUUAUGUCAUUUUUACUUUUAUUGCAUAUUUUAAAAUUUGAAAAAAAAAUUAAAGUGGAUCUAAGGAUCACCAAUGAGUUAGGCACCGGCGCAGAUCUUAACCUCCACUGUCAAUCCAAAGAUGAUGACUUUGGCACUCAUGUCAUGGCCCCUGAUCAAUUCUUUGAAUUCCGUUUUCGACCAAACUUUUGGGGGACUACCUAAUUAUACUUCUGCAAUUUCUGGUGGGGAGGAGAAUCCCAUUGGUUUAAUAUAUUUGUUGAGAAGAGGGAUACGAGCCGAUGUGAUAGCAAGUGCUGGUGGAUGGUAGGACCAGUUGGUCCUUGUUUGCUGGAUCGUAGAUUUGGAAUAUACGAUCUUUGCGAAAACUGGAAUGACCCACAGUUUGAGGGUUCAAGUAAAAAAGAGACAGGAAACGAUGCAGCUAGAGUGUACAAUGACUCCAAAUAUUUGGAGGGCAAUGAGAAAAGAGGGAAAUGAUAUCAUCGAUUAUAUAUCAAUUUUUACUUGCACUAUGUAUGGUGAAAAUAAAUCCAUCUAGAUCAUUUUUCUUAUUAAAUAAUAUCUACAUUUGUCACUAUUUUGUUUCAAGGGAAAAUAUAGGUCGAAAAACAUUUGUCAAAGUCUAUUACAUCGUCCCACAGUGUAAAUGUUAGGAGGUUUUUUGUUUCUUUCGCUAAUGGGACUGGUAUCAUGAGGCAUUAACUUCAUAUAUGACUCCCAUUGUCCCCUAAGAGGUAAUGAGAUGUAUCCGUUUCACCUUUGAAAUAAAUAUAAAGGGAAUCAAAGAUGCAGCAUGUCAGAGGUGUUUUCUCUAACAUUUUCUUUUCUAGAGAUUUAGGUAUGUUUGGGUUUUGGAAAAUUCCAAGGGUAAACGAAAGAAAAUAAAAAAUAAAAGUAAAAGGAAAGAAAAAGUAAAAUAAAAUAAAAUAUAGAUUAAAAUGUGAUAAAUUAUUUUUAUUUAUUACUUAAAACACUACAAGGAAAAAGGGAAUCAAUGAUGUUUUUUAAGCGUCAAGAAAAGUAUAAGAUGACGUUUUUCUAAAGCAUUCUCUUCUAUCCUGUCAAUGUAUGUUUUAGUCAAUAUUGACGCUUUUAGGAAGCGCCAUCUUUGAUUUAUACUUUCAAUGACACUUAAAGAAGUGUCAUCUUUGAAUAAGGUUAAUGAUGACACUUAUGAAUGCGUCAUCUUUGAGUAUUUUUUACUAAUAUAAUUUUUAUAAAAUUGUCAUUGUUGACACUCAUACAGGCGUCAUCUUUGGAUUAUUUUUUCAAUGACACUUUUAAAAGCGCCAUCUUUGGUUAUGUUAAUAACAACACGUAAUAGAAGCGUCAUCUUUAAGCAUUUUAUUUUAAUAGUAAUAUUGCUAUUAUGUUUUUUAAAUAAUGAAUUUCCUAUAUAAUUAAAUAAAAGCAAAAGAAAUUAUAAAUCAUAAAAUUAAAAUAUCUCCAAAUAUUAAUAUACAAUGGUUUAGUUUGAAUAAUUAGUAUAAUUACUUGUAUACAAAUUAUAAAUUUGCUCAUUAGAUCAAAAUAUUUCAAUGAGAAUUUUUAAAUCCAACAUAAAAACAAAUAUCAAUGCAAUGACUACAAAAAGAAACCAUCAUCAACAAAAGCCUAGUUCAACCUCCUAAUGAUUUAAAUGAUAUCAUCUUCAUGAUUUUCAACAUCGCUUCAUUGUAAUGAUUUCUCAUCUUCUUGUAAGCCAAUUUCCUUUGCAAGCUAUAAAUAAAUAAAUAAAAGAAUAUAAAACUUUUAAAUUAUACAUGUAACAACCAAUAUAAUUGAAACAAAAAAAAAAAAAAAUAUAAGAAUAGAAAAUAAUCCAACAUGUUAAUUAUCUUUUGUUCAAGUAAAGCAAUAAAACAAACAUACUAAUUAGUUAUAUUUCAAUCCCACUUGUAAACAAUUUUCCUUAUCAUUAAUUUUCAUGCUGUAUUUUCUUAGACCAUUUUAAAUCUUGAAAUCAUGAUAGGUUAACUUUAGAUAGGAUAUUUCUUUUAUUGAAAAGCUAGACUUUUAAGAAGUUAUUCCCAUGACUAAUGUGGAUGAUGCCAUUAUUGAUUUCUAAUAUUUGAAAAUUCUAUUCUAACAUUUUUUUUUAACAAUAUCCAUGAUUUGGUUUUAAAUAUAAUUUUUCUAUCAUUGUGUUGAAAGAAAAAUAAAAAUUGCUAUGGCUAUAAAUAAUUUGCUCUAUUUAAUUUUUAUUUGCUAAAUCAUGGUUAUUGUGACUUAUUCUUUUAGAAUUAGUUAAAUAAAAUAUCAAACCUUGGGUAUCCAUUUCUCCAAAUCAUUGUAUAUCAUAAUUUUUCUAUACUUCAUUUUUUGUGUAAAAUCAUUAGAGCACGAUGAAAUUUUUAGCAAUGAUAACAAAAAUGGAUGAAAUUUAUCUAGCUAUAUCUAGUUUCACCAAUGUGGUUUUGGAGUCACCUUUGUAAUUUGGUUACCUAUUGUGAUAACUAACUGAACACUUGCAACUAUUAAUACUUUGAUAAGGAACAAAGGUUUUGGUUAUUUUUCAAAUCAGCCAACAUUUACCUCAUGCACAACUGUAGGUGAUGGUUUUCCAUUCCUUGUUUCAGUUUCUAAAUUCUUCAUUUACACUUUAUCUUCUAAUUUGCAAGAACUAGCAGAAACUGAAACAUAAGAACAAAAAAUAAGUCAAUCUUACAACAUUUUCAAAAAAUAAAUAACUCUCAAAUAAUAAAUUAUAAAAACAAUUCUUAAAAGUAGUUUUAGAUUACUUUUAGAAAUAAAAUUUUAUGUGAAAACCAAAUAUAAAAACCAACUUAUUUUUUAGAUGCAAGUAUAAUAAAAAAAAAAUCUAAAAUAUUCUUCAUGUUUUUCAUUGCUUUUCCAAUUACUAAAAAAAAAAACCUUUACAAACAAUCAAAUUGUUCUAAAAAAGCUAUAAAAUUUUCAAUAAAAAUAUUUAUCAUAUGUAUUCCCAUCUUAGAAUUCUAUUUUCUAUUCUUUGGAAUAGUUGAAAACAAUUUCCAACAUACCACAAAGAAAGAGAACACAAGAAAUUAAAGAAUCAAUUUUUUUAAAUAAGAUCCAAAAAAAAAAAAAAGGAAAAACAAUAAAUUGAUAUAUAUAUAUAUUUGAUAGCAUUGAAAUGGAGAGGGAUAGUCAAUUCAAGAAUAUAUUUAAAUAUUUUUAAAUCUUGAAAGUAUGCAAAAUAAUGGAAAACACCUAAAGAAUUAAUUCUUUAAACUUUUUUUUUUCAAACAAUAUCUCAACAUCUUAUGGGAGCAUGACAAUGAGAAUGAUUAUAUUUAUAGCAGCCUCAUUGGCUUCACAAACCAUGUUGAAAAGUUCUACAAAAUACAAAUUUUUUAAAAGUUCCCACUUGAUGCAGUCAUAUUUGUAAAUAAAUAAGUAAAUUCAUUGAUACAAUUUUUUUAAGAGAGAUUGUAAUCUCAAAGUCUUCUAAAGCUUUAUAAGAGUUUCCAUUAGAUUUUUCAUUCAUAUUGUUAACCUUUUGUUAUGAAUUUGGGCUACACUUUUUGUUUUCUAUUUUUAAAAUAGAAAAUAAUACAUAAAAUACAAAAAUUCCUUAAGAAUUACAUUAAAAAGGUAGUGAUUUUUAAAAAUUAUUUAAAAUACCACUAACAUUCUAUAAUAAAUUUAAAAAUACUAACAAAGGAAGAAAAAAGUGUAUACCCUGUGUAUGAGAAAACCCAUGCAUUCCUUCCAAUAAAUUUUAUUGGAAGUGGGUUAUAAAAUGGAAUGUCUUGCAUUGAGUUGAACCCUGAACUAUUGAUGAUUUUGUAAAAUAUUUAUGCAAGAAAAAGACAUGGCAAUGAACUACAUCAAAUCAAUGAGAAGUGUCAUCAUAACAAGGGAGGCAGUUAUGUUGGUGGGCUGUAGGACAUUUUCUACUAGGAGGUGGUAAAGUAAAUGAGGGCUCUAAAGGGGGUGGAGUAAAAAAUGCACCAAAAGCACCAACACUCGGCAAAUGUGAGAGUGUCUAUUCCAAGGAAAAAUCAAUAAAAACACCAACCAUAAAAAACACUCUAGAAAUCACUUGGAAUAUGAAAUAAUAAUACCAUUAUCAACCUACCAUAGAUUUUAACAGGAACAACAACCUAUUAAAACAAUAACUUCAUCACAACCCAAUUAUAUAAAUCCAUAAAAUGCCCAAUUCCCAAAUUUUCUUCAAUCUAGUGCUUCAAUAGACAUAGUUCAAUGCAUAAAAACAAGUAAAUUGGUACCUAUUUUGGAUCAGCAAAAACAUGAUUUGACUGACUUAAUUUUCUUAAUGGCAUUACCAAGUACCAAAAAAGAAAUGAAGUAUUGGCUAGUCACUUUGUUGGGUUCCAAGUAUAUAUUCUUAUUUCUAUAGUGAAUAGGAAAAUGUGUUUUAUGACAAGUUAAAAGAAUCCCUUAAAUUGUUAUGACAAAAAGGAAAACAAUGGACUUUUCAAGAGCAUAUAUAUGUAAGGAAAUUUUUUUUAAAGUUUUUUUUCACCAAUUUUUUAAUUUUUUAUUAUUUAGAAAAUGAGGUAAUCAAGGAGUAUCUAACUAUAAUACCUAAGGUAAUUAAAAAAAGAGACCUUAACUAUUUUAUCAUUGCUAAUAGGCAUAGACAAAUUAGAAUGGUCAGAGACUUGCACACAUAGAUGAAGUAAGAUAUGCAACAGAACUAGUAUUCUACUUAAUCUAGACUUGAUAUAUUUAUUGGUUUAAUCAGUCCACAUUCUGAUGCAAGUUCAAUCACCUUAUUUCUACAAGUCAAUAACCUCCAAAUUAGUUAAAAAUGUAGAAGGAUUCCAAUAUAGCUAAUUCCAAAUGUUUAUAUUGAGAUAUCUGAUGAAAAAAAACCACACAAACAUGAACAACAAAAAAUAUAUAUAAGGCAUUAUAAAAUGGUUAGUUACAAAGGUGUUUUUUAUCUUUUUUUUUUUGGUCAUUUUUCAUGGUUUUUUUCUAUAAAUCUAUUCCAAACACUAACCCAUUCUACAAAAAUGGGUCCAUUGUAAAAACUUGGAACAAUAAAUAUGGCAGCUUUUUUUUUCUUGAAAUUUUUAAAAUAAAAAUACUUUCAAAUGAAACUAAUUAUCAUGAAGAUCACAUUUGACACGUACCACCCACAAUGGUACUAAAUUUUAUAGUUGAUCACCAAAAUUUUAACCUGAUAUCAUUGGAGACAUGACAACAACCAAUGCUUUGCCUAUUUAUUGGCUAAAAACUAAGAUGAGAAAUUGGAGAAACCAUGGAAAUCUAAAUCAACUAAAACCUUCUCACAAGCAUUUUAAAAACUAUAUGUUUACCUUUUAUGUGUUUGACUAAAUGAAGUCCUCGAAGAUAGAGACUACUUUUGAUUGCUAAAUAGACCCACCAUCCACAUCUAGCAUAAAAGCAUUUUUAAUGAGCUAUGAACAGUGUGAACCACAAAAAAAUCUAGUUCAAUCAUGGCUUCAAGUGCAAUAAUAUGUUCAUUAAACUCAAGAAUCUUGUUUCCACCCAGUUUGUAUUUUUUUUUUUUUUUUUGAGGAGAAAAUUGCAUUACUUUUACUAGAUAUCAUUGGCUUGUACUAUUUCCUUUGCUAUGUACUUACCCAAGAAAUGAUGUAUAUCCAUUGAAGUAUGGGCUUCAAUUUCUGCUUUUUUGUCACUUUGAACCAUCACUUUAACUCAUCUCUGUAGUUUUCUUAACAAGAUAAGAUCAAAACAUGAACCCUAUGGGAGAACAACUUUCUUUCCCUAUAAGCCAAAAAAUCUAGUAAAAAAGUAGAGAUUUUUCCCAUUACUCGAAUCCUAAACAGUGUGAAAAAUCCAUUAUUAAAAACCAUAGUUUUCUAACACUUCGUGGACAAGCAAACAAAGCAUAACAUUCCUGAAAAAUCCAAAUUUUUGGGGAAAACAGAAAUCUACCUAUUUCACCAUCACUAACAGUGGUAGUCGCCCAAAUCUAAAAAAUUAUUGAAGCUCAGGUAAUCAAUAAUUUGUUGACUCAGAAUCUCUUAAACCAAACCAAGAAAUAAAAAGUAGCAGUCGCCCAGAUCUUGAAAAAAUCGAAGACAAAAAAACCCUAACCCUAGGUUGAAAAUGAAAGAAGAAAGGAAAAAGAAGGUUACUACCAUUUGAAGAACAAGAGAGAUACUGCGAAUUUGGAUCCAAACCCAUCAAACUACCUUCUCUUGGAUAGGUUUCAAAAAGCAAGGGUUACAGAGCUUUUUGAGGAUGACCAUCUGAAGAAGAUAGUAGUGAGAGCUUGAUGUACUUUUCGAUCAAGUUCCCGAGACUUCCUAGCAAUAGCUUACUGACAACAACCUUUAGCGAUUGGAGUGGUGAGUGCACUUUUCCUAUGGAAAAUCUGUGUUAAUUGAGAAGGGGCAUCAGGUAAGGAGUGUUGCGACUGUGGAGUUCAAUGUAUCUUUUUAUUAAGAAAAUAAAGGUAAAUUAUAUAUCAAAUAAAAGAUGUCACUUUUAAAGAGUACCAACGUUAAGCUCAUCCUGCAAUGACACUUCCAAGAGUGUCAUUAUUUACUAUUCAUGAUAAGUUGGUCUUACAAUGACACUUUCAAAGCGCCAUUAUUUGUGGUUCAUCGUACAAUGAUGCUUCCAAAAGCUCCAUUGUUUCAAAAUGCCAUUGUUUCUCCCUAUAAAGCGCCAAGGAUAUAUGAACGUCAAUAAUAAACAUUUUUAGUAAUAAAUAAUGACAUUUUUUUACAAGCGUCAAGAAUUCAAGCACCAUUAAUUUAGAUUUUUGUAGUAGUGAAACUCAAACAUGUAUCUUUUUCACCUUUGAAAUAAAUAUAAAGGGGAUCAAAGAUGCAACCUGUCAGAGGUGUUUUCUCUAUCAUUUUCUUUUCUAGAGAUUUAGAUACGUUUGGUUUUUGGAAAAUUCCAAGGGAAAAUAAAAGAAAAUACAAAAGAAAACUAAAAGGAAAGAAACAGUAAAAGAAAAUAAAAAAUAGAUUAAAAGGUAACAAAUUAUUUUUAUUUAUUACUUUCCAACAGUAAAUGAAAGAAAAUACAAAAGAAAAGUAAAAGGAAAGAAACUGUGAAGGAAAAUAAUAAAUAGAUUAAAAUGUAAUAAAUUAUUUUUAUUCACUACUUAAAACUCAAACAUGCAUAAGUUACUUACUAGUUUUAAUUAUAUUUACUUUUCUUUGGUAUUUUCCAUUGGACAAUCAAACAGAAUUAUUUUUCUUUUAACAUUUUUUUUUUUCUUAAUAUUUUUCGAGAACUAAAAAUUACCUUAAAAAAAACUAAUUUUUUAAGUGUAUAAUAAUUAAUAAUUAUUGGCAUAUUAAUAUUUUUUCUCAAGUCCUACUUGUAAACAAAUUUUUAUUCAUUUUAAAAUAUUAAAAUUAUCAUUAUCUCUAAAAUAAGCAUAUUCGAGAUGUUAUCAACAAAAUUAUCAUUUUCUCAAGUCCUACUUCUAAUUACUAUUUUUCAUAGAAAUUUAUGUCUAUAAAUCUUGAACUUAAUUUAAAUUAUGUUAUCAAUAAAAACUAAUUCAUUAAAGUUAAUAAGAUAGAUUUAUUUAGUUGCAAUAUUUAAGAUGGGUUCAUUUGAAACUAAAAGGUAAAUUGUUAUUCUCAAAUUUAAUUUAAAUUUUCUUAUCGAAUAUGGUAAAAAAAUACUAAUACGUAAAUUGCGUUAUGAGAAAUAAGAAAGAAAAUAAAAAUCAAUUAAAAUAUUUUAAUUUUCUUAUUUAUUUUUAAACCAAGUGUAGUUUUCAACAUUUCACAUCUUUUUAAUGAAAAAACUAUGUAAAGUAGUGGAUAAAUAAAAAUAAAUAAAUUUUAAAUCAAAAGAUUUUUUUUUUCUUCCAAUUUUAAGCUUAUCUUCAAAAAAUUAAUAAGUCAUUUAUACUUUUAUUGCAUAUUUUAAAAUUUGAGAAAAAAUUAAACACUUGUCCUUUCAUUUCCAUAUAUUUAAAGUAGACACAUGAGCAUAAAUUUCCUAAGCGAAGUAAAAUUAAUAAUUUUGUUUAUAUUUUAUUAUCCAAUCUUUUAUUGUAAAAGAUAAGGGGAAUGUUUUUGGAAAAAAAAAAACACAAUUGAUGUGGUCUUUUCCUAAAUCAUCAUUAUAUUACAAAAAUGAUAAAAUAUGUCUUAAGAAUCCGAUAUGAUUUGACACGAGGGUUGGCAUCUUACUAUUGAUUGGGUAAGAUUUUGAGAUACAAAAGAGGUUAAUGGAGUCUCAAUAAAUUCAAAAUAUUGAAUUAAAAAGGAUGAUUUAGGAAUCAUAUUGGGAAUUAAUAACAUAAAUGCAUACAUUUCUAAGGUUAUGUUUCUUUCCAGAAAAUAUUAGGAAAAAAGAAAAAGAAAAUGAUUUUCUCAUAUUUGAUUUCACUAUAGAAAAUAUAAAAGAAAAUAAAAUAUAAUAAAAAUUAAUUUAAUAUAUAUAUAUAUAUAUAUAUGUUGUAAAACGAGAAUAAAUGUAACUCAAAUAAAAGUAGGGAUGACUAUAUAUUACUUUAAUAGUAUAUAUAAAGGGGAGAAAGAAAUCAAAGAAGAGAAGUGUUGAGAGAAUGAAAGAAAGAGAGAAUAAGAGAGAGAGAAUGAGAGGAAGAGUGAAAGCUUUUUUUUCUCUGGAUGCUUCUUACAUGGGGUGUAAGAAGCCUUUUAUAGGCUUCACCAUAUGAACUCCCAUUACUCAUCUUAAAGAUGAGUAAUAAAUAACCAUUAAUGUGGUCAUUCACCACUUCAUUUACAACACUCCCCCUUGGAUGACCACCAUAUAAAAAGAAUAUGCCUCAUUAAAACCUUGCUAGUAAAAACCCUAUAGGAAAAACCUAGCGAAGGAAAAAAGAGUACAAUAUUCUUUUAUUGGUAUGUUAGAACUGCCUCAUUAAAAACCUUGCUAGUAAAACCCAGUAGGACAAAACUUGGAAGAAGGAAAAAAGAGUACAGUACACUAACACCCUUUUACAAGCAUACUCCCCCUCAUGUCAAUAUCCUUGAGUUGACACAUUCCAAUCUUGUGUAUUAACUUCUUGAAUGUUGAGGUUGGCAAUUAUUUUAUGAAUAAAUCUGCUAGAUUAUCACUUGAGCAUAUUUGUUGCACAUCAAUUUCACCACUCUUCUGGAGUUCAUGUGUAUAAAAGAAUUUUGGUGAAAUGUGUUUAGUUAUAUCUCCUUUAAUAUAACCCCUUAUUAUUUGUGCAAUGCAUGCAACAUUAUCUUCAAACAAUAUUAUUGCGUCACCUUUGAUAGAGGAGAGUCUACAUAAUUCCUGAAUAUGCUGGAUCAUAGAUCUUAGCCAUAUACAUUCACGGCUUGCUUCAUGAAUUGCUAGUAUUUCUGAAUGAUUUGAUGAUGUGGUCACCAUUGUUUGUUUGACAAAUCUCCAUGAAAUAGUAAUACCAUUGCAAUUAAACACAUACCUUAUUUAUGACCUACCUUUAUGUGGACCUGAAAGAUAUCCUGCAUCUGCAUAUCCAAGCAAUUGUUGCUUUGAUUCUCUUAAGUAAAAUAGACCUAUAUAAGUAGUUCCACAAAGAUAACACAAUAUAUGUUUGAUACCAUUCCAAUGUCUUCAAUUUGGAGCAGAACUAUAUCUUGCUAAUACAUUGACAGAAAAAAAAAUGUCUGGACGUGUACAAUUGGCAAGAUACAUAAGUGCACCAAUAGCACUAAGAUAUGGUACUUCAGGACCAAAUAAUUCUUCAUCUUUUUCGCAAGGACGAAAUGAGUCAUUUUUCACAUCAAGUGAUUGAACAACCAUUGGAGAACUUAAAGGAUGUGCUUUAUCCAUAUCAAAACACUUCAAAACUUUCUUAAUGUAUGUUGAUUGAUGUACUAAAACUCCAUUAGGAAAAUGCUCAAUCUGCAGGCCAAGACAAAAUUUUGUUUUUCCAAGAUCUUUCAUCUCAACUUCCUUUUUCAAGUAAUUUGUUGUUCUUGUGAGCUCUUUAGGAGUUCUAACAAGAUUUAAGUCAUCAACAUACACUAUAAUAAUUGCAAAUCUGGUUUUUGAUUUUUUAAUGAAGAUGCAUGAGCAUAUAGGGUUAUUCACAUACCCUUUUUUUAGCAAGUAUUCGCUAAGGCGAUUGUACCACAUGUGUCCAAAUUGCUUUAAUCCAUACAAGGAUCAUUGUAACUUGAUUGAGUACAUGCUACGAGGCUUUUUACUAUUUGCUUCAGGCAAUUUAAAUCCUUUAGGGAUUUUCAUGUAUAUAUAUAUAUAUAUAUCAUUAUCCAUGGAUCUAUAUAAAUAUGGUGUAAUAACAUCCAUGAGACACAUAUCCAGUCCUUCUGAGACUGCCAAAUCAAUUAAAAAACAAAAUGUGAUUACGUCCAUGACGGGAGAAUAUGUUUGCUCGUAGUCAAUACUAGGUCUCUGUGAGAAACCUUGUGCUACUAAUCGUGCUUUAUAUCUUAUGAUCUCAUUAUUCUCAUUGCGAUUUCGUAUAAAUACCCAUUUGUACCCAAUAGGCUUUACAUCUUCAGGUGUUUGGACUGCAGAUCCAAAAACUUCUCAUUUUGUUAAUGAGUUUAACUCUACCUGUAUAGCUUCUUUCCAUUUUGUCCAAUCAUUUCUAUGUUGGCAUUCUUCCACAUUCCGUGGUUCAAGAUCUUUAUCAUUUCUUAUGAUAUUGGAGGUCACUUGGAAAGCGAAAAUAUUAUUAAUAACAAUAUUAUUUUGAUCCCCUUUUUCUCCCGUGUGUACAUAACUUAUAGAGAUUUCACAAUUUUCAGGUACCUAUGCCUCUUCAAGGGCUUCUCGUUCAAUAUGUGCCUCUUUAGGGGCUUCUUGUUCAAUAUGUGCCUCUUCAGGGGCUUUCUGCUUUAUUUGUGCCUCUUAUGGGGCUAUAGAUUUAUCAAUUUUAAAUUGAUCAGUCAUUUUGAUGGUCUCUUCUAGAGGGCCAAGUUUUUUUUAGGUUCUCUUCUUCCGAGGAGUUACGUUCUUUGAGCUGAAAGGUCUACCACGCUUCAAAUGUAUCUUAGAUUCAUUUGUUAACUGUCUUACAGAGACAUCAAUCUGUGCUGGAGUAUUUGCAGUCGAGAUAUGUGACUUUGUCAUUUUCUUUGUAUCAAUGAAUGCAUUUGGUAGUUGAUUUGCAAGAUUUUGAAAAUGAAUGAUCCUUUGAACUUCUAGUUCACAUUGAUUUGUACGAGGAUCAAGAUGGGACAUAGUAGAUGUCUUCUAACUAAUUUCUCAUCGUUUUUCAGGAAUCGACUUUUCUCCGCCUAAUGACGGAAAAACACUCUCCUUAAAAUAACAAUCCGCAAAGCGGGUUGUAAAAACAUCGCCUAUCAAAGGUUUAAGAUAUCUUAUGAUAGAUGGAGAAUCAAAACCUACAUAAAUCCCAAGUCUUCGUUGGGGAUCCAUUUUAGUGCGUUGUGUAGUUGCAAUUGGUACAGAUACUGCACAACCAAAGAUUCGUAAGUGAAAAAUAUUUAGUUGUUUUCCAAGCACAAGUUGUGAAGGGGAGUAUUCAUGGUAAGUUGUGGGUCGAAUAUAGACUAAAGCUGCAGCAUGCAUAAUAGCAUGUCCUCAAGUGAAAGUAGGUAAUUUGGUUUUCAUUAGUAAUGGUCGAGCUAUUAAUUGGAGACGUUUGAUGAAGAUUCUGCUAAACCAUUUUGGGUAUGAGUAUGAGCAACAGAAUGCUCAAUAUUUAUCCCUACUAACAUGCAAUAGUAAUGAAUGUUUGAGAAGUAAAUUCACCAGCAUUAUCAAGAUGUAUUGUCUUAAUUAGAUAAUCUGGAAAUUAUGCUCGUAAUUUGAUUAUUUGUGCAAAGAGUCUAGCAAAGGCAACGUUACGUGUAGAAAUAAGACAAACAUGUGACCACCUAGUAGAAGCAUCUAUUAAGAUCAUAAAAUAAUGGAAUGGUCCACAUAGUGGAUGGAUAGACCCACAUAUGUCCCCAUGUAUUCUUUCUAAAAAGGCUGGUGACUCAGAUAUGACUUUAGUAAAAAGAUGGUCUAACUAUCAAUUUACCUUAUGAGCAGGCAACACAUGAGUAUUCAUUGGGCAAAAGAAUCUUCUGGUUCUUUAGUGGAUGCCCAUGUGAGUGUUUGAUUAUUCGACGCAUCACUAAAGACCCUAGGUGACCUAGCUUGUCAUGCCAAAUGACAAAAACUUUUAGGUCAUUGAACUUCUGGUUCACGACAACAUAUGAUUCAAUAGGCUUAAUAGUUGUAUGAUACAACCCAGAGGAGAAAGUCGAGAGUUUUUCCAUUAUAAGCUUCUGACCAGAUAUAAUGAAAGUAAUGUAAAGAUAUUCUAUAUUAUCUUCAUUCAUAAUUUCAAUAUGAUAUCCAUUUCUACGGAUAUCUUUAAACUUGAGCAAAUUUCUUCUGGAUUUGCUAGAAUAUAAAGCGUCAUUUAUAUGGAAUCUUGUUCCAUUUGGUAGCGUUAUGUUUGCUUGCUUUUCUAGAGCCUUCAAUUAUGUUUGUAGUACCAGAUAUGGUACUUACAUUAGCUUUUAUUAAUGUCAAUUCAAGAAAAUAUCUUUUAUCUCAAAGAAUUGUGUGUGUGGUUGCACAGUCUGUGAGACAUACAUCAUCCUCAUUCAUCUUGAGACCAAAUAACACAUAGAUUUAAGAUAUAACUAAAAAAAAAGGCAUAAUGUAAAUAACAAAAGAAAAUCAAAUGUAAAUAUAAGACAUAAUAAUAUAUUAUUUGAUAUAUUAAUCAAUGUUAAUCUUCUCAUCAUUUAUUAAAUGGUAUGUUUUUUCAUUGGGACCUCUAAAGAAAUCAAUAUCAUAGUAGGUUAGGUCCAAUCCAUCAUCAUCGGUAAAGUUCAUCUCUAUCUAUUUUCUUUUUGCUUUUAUUGAUGCUUUGUAAAGAUCGACCAAAUGUUUGGGUGUACGAUAGGUACGUGACCAAUGCCCCUUCAUACCACAUCUAUAACAAUUAUUCUUAUGGUUCUUAGGAGGUUUAUAUUGUAAACACUUCCCAUUUUCUUGUUUUGUCUCAGUAUUGUUCCACUUUUGGUGGUGCAAUGAGGCUUUCAUUUUCUGAGAAUUUAAUGAAUUAUUACUAUAAGAACCAUGAUAUCGGGGAUUUCUUCCAUGGCCACAACCACGACCACGUCCUUGUCCUCGUCCACGUCCACAAGUUUGGGAAGAUAUUGCAUUCACUUUAAGGAAUGGUUUAGAUCCAGUUGGACGAGAUUGGUGAUUUCUCAUCAAAAGCUCAUUAUUUUGUUCAGCAACAAGAAGACAUGAUGUUAAUUCAGACUAUUUUGUAAAUCUACACUCUCGAUAUUGCUACUGUAGAAGCACAUUCGAGCCAUGAAAUAUAGUAAAAUUUUUCUCUAACAUGUCUUCUUCUGUGAUUUUUUUCUCCACACAGCUUUAAUUGAGAGUUGAUUUUGAAAAAUGCGGAGUUAUAUUCACUAACAAUUUUAAAAUCUUGCAACCUCAGGUGCAUCCAAUCAUAUCGAGCUUUUGGGAGAAUCACAGUUUUUUGGUGGUCAUAUCUUUCUUUCAAAUUACUCCAUAGAGUAAAAGGGACCUUUACCGUAAGAUACUCAUUUUUUAAACCUUUAUAGAGGUGAUGGCGAAGGAAAAUCAGUGCUUUUGCAUGAUCCUGCAAGGAUGCUUGAUUUCCUUCUUUGGUCAUAGCUCCAAGGUUCAUUGCAUCAAGAUGUAUUUCAGCAUCAAGGAUCCAAGAUAGAUAGUUCUUUCCCAAAAUGUCAAGUGUCACAAAUUCGAGUUUUGUGAGAUUCGACAUUGUCAAAUAACUUCAAAGAAAUUUGUGCUGAUAAUGUGUUGUAAAACUAGAAUAAAUGUGACUCAAAUAAAAAUAGAGAUGAAUAUAUAUUACUUUAAUAGUAUAUAUAAAGGGGAGAAAGAAAUCAAAGAAGAGAAGUAUUGAGAGAAUGAAAGAAAGAGAGAAUGAGAGGAAGAGUGAGCUUUUUUUCUCUGGAUGCUCCAUGGGGUGUAAGAAGCCUUUUAUAGGCUUCACCAUAUGAACUCCCAUUACUCAUCUUAAAGAUGAGUAAAUGGAGUUCAUAAAUAACCAUCAAUGUGGUCAUUCACGACUUCACUUACAACAAUAUAUAAAUUAUUUAAUUUUUUUUAUAAUAGAGAGAAAUAAGUAAAAUGAUUUUGAAAAAACUUAUAAAAAUAAUUUAUUAAAUUUAAACCUAUCUUUUAUUUUCCUUAUCUUUUUCUUUCCUUCUACUUUUCCUCUCUAUUUUCUUUCCUUCCAUUUUUUCUCAAAUUUUCUAAGAACCAAACAUAGCCUAAAUAUUUUCAAAUUUAUAAAAAUAAAUUUGAUUUUUUACUAGUAAAUUCCUAUUAAUAUCCAAAACAUACUCUUCCCUUAAUUAUUUCCAUAUUAUGUUGAUUCAUUUCUUACACAUUAAAUCCAAAUUAAAACUAGUAACAAUAUAAAUUUAUUAUCUAAUCAUCAUAAUACAUAUUCCAUAUAUAGAUAGUGAUGAGUAAAUACAUACCAAAUUAAUGUUAUAAUAAUGUACAAUUAUAUAUGACAUAAAUUUCUUUUAUAAAAAAAAUUUAGUAUAUGAUUUCACAUAUGGUUGGAAAUGUCACAUAUAUGGUAGGAUAUCUUCCACAUUUGUAACAAUCAUAAUGAAUUCACACAAUUUCCUUAUUCCAACAUUAUAAUAAUAACAUACAAUUUAAUUUCUAGUACUUUUUUUUUUUGACUUACCAUUUAUGUCCAAUAUUGUAAUUCCUACUAUAAAAAGGUUCUAAAUAAUUAAUUAUUUUUAUUAAUUGUAAUAAUACAUAUGCAACUUAAUGAAUUUUUAAAUUAAACAAUUUUGAAUUUUGACUUAGUAUGGUAAAAAAUUUAAUCUUAAAAUCAGGUUUGAUACUAUUUCCCUUAAAUUAUAUGCUUUCUCUUAGACAUGUGAGAUAUUGGUUGUCAAGGAGCAUGAUAAGUACAAGGCCAUCGAUAUAUAAAUGAAAGAAACUAAACAUCAAGUCACUCCAAGAGACAAGCAUGUUUUCAUUGGAUAUGGUAAAAAUUCGAAAUAUUGAAUUAAAAAGGAUGAUUCAGGAAUCAUAUUGGGAAUUAAUAACAUAAAUGCAUAAAUUUCUAAGAUUAUGUUUCUUUCCCGAAAAUAUUAGGAAAAAAAUUUAUAAAAAUAAAUUUGAGUUUUUACUAGCAAAUUCCUAUUAAUAUGGUAAAAAAUAAUUUGAAUUUUGACUUAGUAUGGUAAAAUAUUUAAUUUUAAAAUCAGGUUUGAUACUAUUUCCCUUAAAUUAUAUGCUUUCUCUUAUAGACACGUGAGAUAUUGGUUGUCAAGGAGCAUGAUAAGCACAAAGCCUUUGAUAUAUAAAUGAAAGAAACUAAACAUCAAGUCACUCCAAGAGACAAGAAAAUUACAAGCAUGUUGUCAUUGGAUAGGCAUUUGUUUUCAUUUGUGCUACUUGUGUUUCUUAUUCGUUUGUGUGAUGGGGGUCCUGGGGUUUUCGAAAAGAAAGCGGAUGUAAAGAUCAUCAAUGGCCUUGAAGCUGGCGUAGAUCUUAAUAUCCACUGUAAAUCCAAAAACGAUGACCUUGGCACUCAUGUCCUGGGCUUUGAUCAAUUCUUUGAAUUCCAUUUCCGACCAAACUUUUGGGGGACUACCUUAUACUUCUGUAGGUUCUGGUGGGAAAGUGAAUCCCAUUGGUUUGACAUAUACGUUCAGAAGAGGGAUGUAGGCCGAUGUAACAAGA
rnacentral:lncRNA from 1 species